rnacentral:lncRNA from 1 species
CCAUCGUGCAGCCUGGCUGUGACCAAAGCCUGCUUAAGGCUGGCUACAGUGAGCUUGCCUGGGGAGUCUCGCAUCACCUGCACACUCUACCAUUCCCUGGAGGACAGGACCUUUGCUGGGUGGGCGCGGGCCUGAGCUGUGAGCAGGGAUGACUGGUCCUAAGUGCUGGCUGGCCCUCAGGUCAGGUCACUGCCGCCCAGCCCCUGGCUUCCCAAGCAGGUCUCGUCAGCCUCAGUGUCCGCCUUUUCUUUCCAGGGGAGCAAUGACGCAGCUGUCGGCCAAUGACGAGGAUCUGGAGGAGAGGUCGGAGAGUGAGGGGAGCGACUACUCCCCAACAAGAAGAAGAAGAAGAAGCUCAAGGACAAGAAGGAGAAAAAAGCCAAGCGGAGAAAGAAGGACGAAGAUGAGGAGGACAAUGAAGACGGGUGCUUAAAGGAGCCCAAGUCCUCGGGGCAGCUCAUGGCUGAGUGGGGCCUGGACGACGUGGACUACCUGUUCUCAGAGGAGGACUACCACACACUGACCAACUACAAGGCCUUCAGCCAGUUCCUCCGUGGGUGGGCGGGCCAGGGAGGGGGACAGCGAGAGCGAGAGCCCCACCUCCCUGGGGAGGGGAGUAUUCAGG